CUACCAUAAAGAAAAUUUCCAGGUAAAAUUGGCUACAUUUCUGUUAACUUGCCUUACCAUUUUAUUGACACUUUAAUAAUUACUAAUGAUUUAUACUGUCUUAUCUAUUCCAUUGAGUUCUAUCUCAUUUCUCUUCUUUUUCAGAAUAUUCCCUCUGUAUACUUGCAUUUUUUUCUAUCAAUUGACGCUUACAAUUAUUUUUGCAAGUUGGAAAAAAAUGCAGUAUUAAUUUCAUUUGCAACAAAUUUAAUAGAUUAAUUAGGAGAGAAUAGAUAUCUUUAAAAUUGAGUCUUCUGUCCAACUGCAAGUUAUAGCUGAGGUGGUACCAGUUUAAGAAGUGAGAACUUCUUCACUGACUGAAAUUUGCAUAUCAAUCCAAAUCAUUGUGCUUAUUUACUAUUUUUGUAGACGUCAUUCUUCAAAAGUGCUGCAUCUUCAAUAGUCAAGGAGGACAAAGACAUCUUUCCUGCAGGUGGUGACCAUGUGGAUAAUAGGAUCAUAGACAAAUGGUGGUUCCAUCUACAGCAUCACCGAAAUGCUGUUGUUACUGCUUCUUUCUGGGAUCUUCUUGCAUCUUUGCUUCUAAAGGGGCACACCUUUUAUAGAAGUACGUCCAGGAAUAGAAGUGACCUGCUUUUUCGCAAGUAAUUGCCUGGAAUGUUUUUAUGUACUUCUCUGCACUCUCAAUACAUUUCAUGCUUCCCUCUAUUUUUGUAUAUUAACUCAUUGUAUUUCUUAAAUUUAUAUUUUACUUUAUGAAUGGAAGUGAGAUUUGUGUAUGGUAAAUAUAAUUAAUUCAACCCCAUGGAUACGUUAGUCACUGUCCAGAUGAUGGCAAGUCUUUCUCAGAAGCAGAGGGCCUUGGUGUGCCAGUGAUUUUUUUUCCCCAUGUGUAAGAUACUUUUUUUCCUCAUUUGAAUCAGGAGCCCACAGUUUUUAGACAAGUCCCAAAUGAAAUCUUAAGCAUUUGUGUUAUCUGGACUAGACCUUCUGUAGUAUCCUUUUUGUUAGACCUAGUAUAUCUCAUUGCAGAUCAGGAUCUGAGAUUGACUAUAGUUCACCUCUUUCCAAGUACACAAACUUGGAUGACAUGACAACUGAGUGUGUAAGGGAGAGCGAGACCCUUGCACUGCCAUUUGAGCCCUUGUGAUCUCAUCUUGUAGAACAUGUUGUACAAUCAUUUUAUUGGUAUCAUUAGUGUUAUUUGGGGCUGGAAUAAAAAUCUCAGUGCACCAAAGAGAUUUCCCCUUUAUCCACGUUACCCUGGUUUUCCUUUGUUUUCUGUUUAACCUAAACGGGCUUAAUAUAAAAUAGUGCUUAUUUGGUGUUUUAAUUGUCUGCUUCUAUAACAUAAGCUGCACUGUCCAUUGGGGAACUGCUCACCAUAUUGCCCAACCUGUCUUGAUAGGUUUAUACAUGGGAGGCAUUCAGUAAUAUUAAUUACCUCUCUAGACCAGUGUUAGCAAUAACAAACACUUGCUAGAAUUUUAAGACUAUAUAAUCAAUCACUUUGAUGUCAGUUAAUCCUACCAACACAAGAUUAAAGGUUUAAAAAUCUCAUACGUGUACAGCCAUUAGUGUCUCCUUUCAUACUAUAUUAUUUUGUUCAUUGGCAGCUAGAUUUUUAGGUAGAACUUGUGUUCCUUUUUGCAAUGCUCAUUUAUUUUACCUGGACAGAAGGUGCUCUUCUGUCUCUUCUCCAAAGUUAAUUUAUCUCAUACUAUUUCUUGUGUUAAUAUUUUCCAAGUUCAGUAUGCUGUUCUGGUUAUAAGAAGAUCAGUGUCCUAAUCACACACUUUUACAUUAUAUGAAACAUCAUACAGAGUUUUGUAGUCUGUAUAACAAUACACAGAGGUAGCAAAAUUUGUAAAAGAGCAGACUAUAUAGUCCAUACUGUAGUAACUACUCAACAUUGCCAUUAUACGUGAAAUCGGCUAUAACCAAUUCAUAAACAAAUGAAUUUGGCCGUGUUCUAGUAAAACUUAUUUACAAAAACAUGUGUUAGGCCAGAUUUGGACCACAGGCUGUAGAUUUCUGACCUCUGGCUUACAGCAGAAGUUUAUUAUGAUCCUGGGGAAGGUGGAUAUACAUGGAAGGCAGAAGCGAGAAGAUGUAUUCCAUCCCAUGUCAUUUUUCUGAACCCUCAACGUAGGAAGUUAAACUAAAACAUGGGGCAGAAUCUGCUUUAAGCCUUUGAAUUCUUGGCUCUUAAAGCCAGGUUGAGGGUUAUGUGUUUUUAUUCUUUUAUAUCUCCUUUUCACUUAGGCUUGGCAACUAGUUCAUUGAAACAGAGCCAACAAGAAUGAGUGAGUCACUCAGUGAUAUGAAGCAAGCUGUGGUCAUUUAUCUACUACCUUCCAUACCUACUUCCUAGGUUUGAUAAGUAGUGUUUGUAGUGUAGUUGUCAGUAACUUUUCUCAGCUUACAUAAGUUUAUGUGGAAUUCAUUUACAAAUGUGUGAUUAUUACGAUAGAUGUUAUUUUAUAAAUUUCAAGGUUCUUUAAUACAGCAUGGACAUGUUUCUAAAUCAAUAAAUAUAGCUUACCCACAGACUUUUUAUGGGAUGUAAAGUAUGUAUUACAACAGGUAAAUCCAUUUCUCUGUUUUGGGAAAGCAGGUUAAUGUUUUGUUUGUUUUGUUGCUGCAUAUAAUGUUGCACUAUAUAUAUAUUCUAAUGCAGUUGGUCUCCUAAUUCUACAGGAUAAAUGUCUAGCUGUGGCAUUGUUGGAUCAUCAGUUUCGUUUCAGUUAGAUGCUGUGAAAUUGCUCUUGAAAAUGGUGUCCUCUGCCACCACAGAACGGUGUUGUAAUGGAAGUGCCAAUUUUCAUAAAAACUUGUGUGCAACAGGUAUUAAGAAUUUUUGAGGUCGGGCGCAGUAGCUCACGCCUGUAAUCCCAGCACUUUGGGAGGCCUAGGCAGGUGGAUCACCUGAGGUCAGGAGUUCCAGACCAGCCUGACCAACAUGGUGAAAUCCCAUCUCCACUAAAUACAAAAAAUUAGCUGGGCGUGGUGGCAUAUACCUGUAAUCCCAGCUACUUGGGAGGCUAAGACAGGAGAAUUGCUUGAACCCAGGAGGCGGAGGUUGCAGUGAGCCGAGAUUGCACCACUACACUCCAGCCUGGGUGAUGAGCGA
ensembl:lncRNA SNHG14 small nucleolar RNA host gene 14